rnacentral:rRNA from 1 species
AUUUCCGAAUGGGGAAACCCAGUGUGUUUCGACACACUAUCAUUAACUGAAUCCAUAGGUUAAUGAGGCGAACCGGGGGAACUGAAACAUCUAAGUACCCCGAGGAAAAGAAAUCAACCGAGAUUCCCCCAGUAGCGGCGAGCGAACGGGGAGCAGCCCAGAGCCUGAAUCAGUAUGUGUGUUAGUGGAAGCGUCUGGAAAGGCGCGCGAUACAGGGUGACAGCCCCGUACACAAAAAUGCACAUGCUGUGAGCUCGAUGAGUAGGGCGGGACACGUGGUAUCCUGUCUGAAUAUGGGGGGACCAUCCUCCAAGGCUAAAUACUCCUGACUGACCGAUAGUGAACCAGUACCGUGAGGGAAAGGCGAAAAGAACCCCGGCGAGGGGAGUGAAAAAGAACCUGAAACCGUGUACGUACAAGCAGUGGGAGCACGCUUAGGCGUGUGACUGCGUACCUUUUGUAUAAUGGGUCAGCGACUUAUAUUCUGUAGCAAGGUUAACCGAAUAGGGGAGCCGAAGGGAAACCGAGUCUUAACUGGGCGUUAAGUUGCAGGGUAUAGACCCGAAACCCGGUGAUCUAGCCAUGGGCAGGUUGAAGGUUGGGUAACACUAACUGGAGGACCGAACCGACUAAUGUUGAAAAAUUAGCGGAUGACUUGUGGCUGGGGGUGAAAGGCCAAUCAAACCGGGAGAUAGCUGGUUCUCCCCGAAAGCUAUUUAGGUAGCGCCUCGUGAAUUCAUCUCCGGGGGUAGAGCACUGUUUCGGCAAGGGGGUCAUCCCGACUUACCAACCCGAUGCAAACUGCGAAUACCGGAGAAUGUUAUCACGGGAGACACACGGCGGGUGCUAACGUCCGUCGUGAAGAGGGAAACAACCCAGACCGCCAGCUAAGGUCCCAAAGU